rnacentral:rRNA from 1 species
AACGCGAAGAACCUUACCUGGGCUCGAACGGCUUCUCAACGGCGGUGGAAACACCGCUACUCCGCAAGGGGGUGGAGUCGAGGUGCUGCAUGGCUGUCGUCAGCUCGUGUCGUGAGAUGUUGGGUUAAGUCCCGCAACGAGCGCAACCCUUGUCCUGUGUUGGCAUGUGUUUAGUAAUAAACGCGCAACUCUCAGGAGACCGCCAGCGAUAAGCUGGAGGAAGGUGGGGAUGACGUCAAGUCAUCAUGGCCUUUAUGUCCAGGGCCACACACGUGCUACAAUGGGCGGUACAAAGCGUCGCCAACCCGCGAGGGGGAGCUAAUCGCCAAAAACCGUCCUCAGUUCGGAUUGCAGGCUGCAACUCGCCUGCAUGAAGCUGGAAUCGCUAGUAAUGCUAUAUCAGAACGAUAGCGUGAAUACGUUCCCGGGCCUUGUACACACCGUACGUC